UACGUAGGGGGCGAGCGUUGUCCGGAAUUAUUGGGCGUAAAGAGCUUGUAGGCGGUCUGUCGCGUCUGCUGUGAAAAUCCGGGGCUCAACCCCGGACUUGCAGUGGGUACGGGCAGACUAGAGUGUGGUAGGGGAGACUGGAAUUCCUGGUGUAGCGGUGAAAUGCGCAGAUAUCAGGAGGAACACCAGUGGCGUAGGCGGCUGUCUGGGGCCUUGCUGACGCUGAGGCACGAAAGCCAGGGGAGCGAACGGG
rnacentral:rRNA from 1 species